AUGGGUCGCUUGGAAUCGUGACCUGGGCAGUAGCUUUAAGUUCGCUACAACCCGUUCGACGUCUCUUACUUUCCUGCAACCCAGCCCAGUACUCUUUCCAGCGAAAGGGGCUGUCAUUAAUUUUUAGCGUCAAAGGAAAUAAGAAAUGUCCGAACGUAAGAGCGGUACCGUCAAGUGGUUUAACGACGAAAAGGGUUUUGGUUUUAUCACUCCUGAGAGCGGUCCGGAUCUGUUCGUCCACUUCCGCGCCAUUCAGGGCAGCGGCUUCAAGAGCCUGAAAGAAGGCCAGAAAGUGACCUUCAUCGCAGUACAGGGCCAGAAAGGCCUGCAGGCUGACGAAGUCAUCGCAGAAAACUGAGUUCGGUUUUUAUGCCUGAAAAGCCCCUGAUGGUGACAUCAGGGGCUUUUUU
rnacentral:sRNA from 1 species